GGAGCGCAACUGACGCUGAAGCUCGAAAGUGCGGGUAUCGAACAGGAUUAGAUACCCUGGUAGUCCGCACGGUAAACGAUGGAUGCCCGCUGUUUGCACACUAGUGUAAGCGGCCAAGCGAAAGCAUUAAGCAUCCCACCUGGGGAGUACGCCGGCAACGGUGAAACUCAAAGGAAUUGACGGGGGCCCGCACAAGCGGAGGAACAUGUGGUUUAAUUCGAUGAUACGCGAGGAACCUUACCCGGGCUUGAAUUGUGAGAGAACGACCCAGAGAUGGGAGGGCCCUUCGGGGCUCUCAUGAAGGUGCUGCAUGGUUGUCGUCAGCUCGUGCCGUGAGGUGUCGGCUUAAGUGCCAUAACGAGCGCAACCCCUCUCCAUAGUUGCCAUCAGGUAAAGCUGGGCACUCUGUGGACACUGCCACCGUAAGGUGAGAGGAAGGUGGGGAUGACGUCAAAUCAGCACGGCCCUUACGUCCGGGGCUACACACGUGUUACAAUGGCCGGUACAGAGAGCAGGGAGCCCGCAAGGUCUCUCAAAUCUAUAAAUCCGGUCUCAGUUCGGACUGGGGUCUGCAACCCGACCCCACGAAGCUGGAUUCGCU
rnacentral:rRNA from 1 species